GACUUAGUACUAGGGGAAAACAUUUACCUUUACCUUAAAUACAUGGUUGUUUAUUAAGCCUUUUGGUCUUACUGAUUUAUUUCUAAAUGAUGAUGUACUGGGUUUCUAAAUUAUUUUCAAAGCUUGUUGAUGGUUUUAAUAUGUUCUUAGCUAAUUUAUUUCAAUUAUUUUAAUGUUGUUUUAAAAUGUUUUGAACUGUUGCUAUCGAUUUUACAUGCAUGGUAUCCUAAAAUCCUUGUAAAACGACAAAUCCCACAAUUUCAUGGCAAUUGAAAGUGGUGUCCAACUCCAUGCAUUCUACAGUGUAGAUCAGUCAUGGGCAAACUUUGGCCUUCCAAGUGUUUUGGACUUCAACUCCCACCAUUCCUAACAGCCUCGGGCCCUUUCCUUUUCCCCCUCAGCCGCUUAAGUGGGCCUGAGGCUGUUAGAAAUGGUGGGAGUUAAAGUCCAAAACACCCAGAGAGCCGAAGUUUGCCCAUGCCUGGUGUAGAUGCACCCUUGCUCUAUGCAAAACUACAGGAAUUGAAGAAAAAUAUCAUGUCUGGGGCAGAAUUCUUAUUUGUGCCAAACUACCUUCAUUUUGCUUCCACUCCAUUGCUAAACUCUUUGUCUUUUCCCAGUUUGGGGUGAACGGUCGUAUCAGGAUAACUAACAUCAGAAGCUUACAUGCCCACCUUGUAUUGGAGCCCCCACGGUUUGAUCUGAAAUACACGGAUUCCAGAUGGUUUCAGGAUACUGAAGCUCUGACCUCUUGUGUUCUACAGAUCAAUAUGUUAACAUGUUUUCCCCACAAGCGUUACUUGCAGAGGACAUAGAGUAACAGAAACAUGGAAGACCUGUACAUCCAGUACCAUUUAUAACUGGGGCCGGUUUUAUUUUUGUUGAACUAAAGGACAUGCCCUUAUCAUAUCUAACAGGAGAAGAAUAUGCCUGGCAAAAAAUCAGGACGAAUUCAUCUCGGCGAAAUGCAGCUGUUUCUUCGUGUGCACAGCUUCUGUUUGAAGAGAACAAGGCAUGUGCCUCUGUGUUGCUGGUUCCCUUUUGCUGUGGAGGAAGGGGAGGGAGUGUACUCUCUGGACAAAGGCCAGUUGAUCACGUCUUCACUGCUGUCAGUUAUUUAAUGGUGUGCAGCCAACGACAUUGACCCUACAUUCUGACCUAAGUAAUCAAUCAAUUUGAUGUUUAAGACAAAAGUGGUACUUUGGGGUGAUAAGGUAUCUAUUUAAUAUCAAACAAAUCCUACAUUUGUGAGAUUCUUUGCCUUUCUUUAUCCUCCUAUUGUUCAUUUCCUCCUUUAUCUGCUGCUGCUUUAACUUUUGUGUUGCUUUGAUAGGCAAGCCUCUGCUGUACUCAGGUUUCAAAUGUGCUGAUUUAAAAUGAAUGCAUUACACAAAGAUAUUAGAAACAUUUCAUCAGUUAUGUACCUCCUGUCCAAUUAUUUCAGUAUCAUUUCAUGUGCAAAUGUAUUUCCAACUUCCCAGGGCUCCAGCCAUAUUUGCUAGCAGCAUCCAAUUUCACUGAAGGGUUGUUGUAUGUCUUUCAGGCUGUGUGGCCAUGUUCCAGAAGUAUUCUCUCCUGACGUUUCGCCCACAUCUAUGGCAGGCAUCCUCAGAGGUUGUGAGGUAUGGAUAAACUAAGUAAGGAAAGGAAAGAAUAUAUAUCUGUGUCCAAGGUGUGGCAAGAGUCCUUUGUCACUGGGAGCCAGCAUUAAUGUUUCAGUUAAUCACCCUAAUUAGCAUUGGAGAUGUUUUGUCCCUUGCCUGGGGGCAUCCUUUGUUCAGUCAAGCCUUCAUUGUGUUGGUUCCCAUUGUUGUCGACUGUGUUUUUAGAGGAUCGGGCCCCUUAAGGAGAGAGCCGAUCCGGUCCUGAGAGAACGGACCUUGGCGGAGCCAAUAGGAGAAUAUGAGCCGCAAUACAACCUGAAGGCGAAAUGAAGAAGGUCCGCCAAAGUUGAAGGAAAAUCCGCCAAGGAGUCUUUAUUGAGCGAUUCAGCUGAAAAGGACUCUAGUAGUGAUCAUUCAGUCUACUAGGGUACCAUAUAACCCAAAUAAAGCCAUAUUUAUACAAUGUUUCAGUCUGACAGCCCCUUGAAUUUCCCGCCCCGCUCCCCCCGCCCAUCUGAUCGCGGAUAGGCUAAAGGGUUGAACGAGGCGGGCUUUCGUUUCCCGCCUUGCUCUGCUGGCCCAAUAGGGAGUUGCUUUUUGUCCCCACUCGGGCCAAUCAGAGAGGAGAAGGCGGGAGUUAUUGGAACAAUGAAGUGACUGAGCAGGAAGGAUCGGAUUAAAUCCUGCCCGGCCGAAUUCUAAAGGGAUUAAUGACAGCAAUCAAGGGUUCCUGUCACGUACACGGAUUUCAGAUAUGCCUUGGGGUGUCAGAGGUGGAAGUAAGGAUGGGUGGCGAUGGGCCCAGCAGGGCGCCUUCCUGAGAUGUCAUUUGGAGGAGAUAUGACAAUGUUUGCCUUGAGGGCGAAUCACCUUUAGGUCAAAAUACUCCGAAUUCGGCGACUCAAGCCCUAUAUUGUCCAUGCAAUCUGAAUCUGAUUAGGUUAAGCGGCAGCGGAUUAACCUUUUGUUUUUGGGAAGGUAAGCCUGGGUCAUAGGAAAUGGGGCAUGUCCUGGGGCUCAAGUUGAGUUCGAAAUAUUCCCUAUCUGAUUUCAUGAAUUGGCAAUUAUAUGAAAUAAAAUGAAAAAUAAAAUAAAGUUGGAAUAUAAACCCAGCUGGGAAAAAUACAUAUUUUCCGGGGAUCCCAAAGAGUACAAAUACAUAUAGGCAGAUAGAUAGAUCUCAAGGAGGUAAGGGAGAAGCCAUAGAGGUGGGUUACAUUGCAUGAAGGGGAAUCAUGAAUGAUAUAAACAAUUGGAAAACAUUUGAUAAGAACGAAGUACACAACAUCUGGGGAACCCAAUAUGGAAAUUCAUAAAAGUGGAGUUUUAGCAGCAUGAUUUCACAAUUCAUGAAGUUAGCCCAACGAUUAGAAAUUCAUACAACAGUGAUUCAUGAGGGUGUCCGGGUACAUAGAAUAUGAAAAUUCACGGAUACAUGAGGAAAAGAGUUCAUCUGUGGUGGAAGGAAUUCAUAGAGAUGGCAUGGGGGAGAGGCACAUGUGGGUUGCAGUCUUUGGAAGUAUAAGAUUUCAUAAGUCCAGGGAUAGGUCUGGGGGAAGAGUGUUCUUCUCCUUCAUAAAAUUAUGAAGGUAUGAAUGAAACGUGGAGGGCUCCCGUCCAGGCACCCUCCUGGCAGGCUGUAGAGAGGGCGAAGGUCCUUGGAGAACUAUGUCUCCCCGGCGGAAGAGCGAUCCCCCCAUCCCCAGUUCACAGAAAGGGACCAGGGAUCUCCUAAAACCAUCCCGCGGGUCGCGGAGAGAGGAAAGUCCGGGAUAAGGCUGGAAGAGAGCAGUCUGGCUUGAAAGGAGCAGUUGGUUCCGUUUGACAGUCAGCUGAUGAGGUGCCGAGAACUGGACCGAUUUUGGUUCCGCUGGUGGUCCUUGAGUCAGGAGCCUUAGAAAGGAUUAGGACUAAAAGAAGAGCGUGCCAGGGGUAAUUUUGAUAAAGAUAUGAGCCAAUUUGUAUCGUCUGCUGUAUUAACCUAUGGCGGGGAAGCCUCUGCCAGGGUUUAAAGAUCAGACGGGUUAGUGAGAGAGAGAGGGAGAGAGAAAUUGCAUGCAAAGGAAGGAGUCAGAGAAAGACACAAAAUAACCAGAUAGAGAGUGUUACUGCUAAAAUAAAUGCUACUUUUAUUGGGGGAUUUGUUACAUAGUUCAGGGAAGGGGAAAGUGAAGAAAAAAGAUCUUUUAAUAAUAGUCUGCUGCGGUCCCGCUCCGUUCCUUUUGGUGAUGGAUCUGCGGAACUCUCCGCUGCGGGUUCAAAUUAAUUUGAAAGCCGGGGUCUCGGUCAUCACCAUCUACUGUUUUGAUUUUGGAGUUUUGUAAUACUGGUAGCCAGAUUUUGUUCAUUUUCAUGGUUUCUUCCUUUCUGUUAAAGUUGUCCACAUGCUUGUGGAUUUCAAUGGCUUCUCUGUGUAGUCUGACAUGAUAGUUGUUGGAAUGGUCCAGCAUUUUUGUGUUCUCAAAUAGUAUCCUGUGUCCAGGCUGGUUCAUCAAAUGCUCUGCUAUGGCUGAUUUCUCUGGCUGAAUUAGUCUGCAGUGCCUUUCAUGUUCUUUGACUCUUGUUUGGGCGCUGCGUUUGGUGGUCCCUAUGUAGACUUGUCCACAGCUGCAUGGUAUCUGGUAGACUCCUGCAGAAGAGAGAGGAUCCCUCUUGUCCUUCGCUGACCGUAGCAUUUGUUGGAUUUUCUUUGUGGGUCUGUAGAUGGUUUGUAGGUUGUGCUUCUUCAUCAAUUUGCCUAUGCGGUCAGUAGUUCCCUUGAUGUAUGGUAAGAACACCUUUCCUCUGGGUGGAUCUUUGUCUUGACUCUCAUGGCUUGUUCUUGGCCUUGCAGCUCUUCUGAUGUCUGUGGUGGAGUAUCCAUUGGCCUGUAGAGCCCAGUUUAGGUGGUUGAGUUCACCUUGGAGGAGGUGAGGUUCGCAGAUUCUUUGUGCACGGUCUGUCAGGGCUUUGAUUGUGCUCCUUUUUUGACUUGGGUGAUGAACUAAUUAGGGUGAUUAACUGAAACAUUAAUGCUGGCUCCCAGUGAUAAAGGACUCUUGCCACACCUUGGACUUUACACAGAUAUAUAUUCUUUCCUUUCCUUACUUAGUUUAUCCAUACCUCACAACCUCUGAGGAUGCCUGCCAUAGAUGUGGGCGAAACGUCAGGAGAGAAUACUUCUGGAACAUGGCCACACAGUCCGAAAGACAUACAACAACCCUGUGAUCCUGGCCAUGAAAGCCUUCGACAACACAAUUUCACUGAAGUUUGCUUGUUUGUUUUUGUUCACUAACAUGGCUAAAACAAUGGGAUAGUUAUGACAGGAAAGGAUUAACAGGAUCAGGAAUUUAGAAUAUGUAGAUUCAUAUUCCUAUUCAUUCAUAUUGUGGGACCCCAGCCUAAAAUUUGGCUUUUUACCAAUGAAUGGAAGCAGGUGCUUAACCUGUCAACUACAUCCUGAAAACACUCAGAAGACAUUUUAGCCCAAAGUUCCCUAUCUAAGUUCAGAGACUGCCCCUGGCAGCGCAGCAGGUUAAACUGCAGAGCUGCUGAACUUGCUGACCGAAAGGUUGGCAUUCAAAUCUGAAGAGCUGGGUGAGCUCCCGUUGUUAGCCCCAGCUUCUGCCAAUCUAGCAGUUCGUAAAUUGCAAAUGUGAGUAGAACAAUAGGUGCCGCUCCAGCAGGAAAAUAACGGCGCUCCAUGCAGUCAUGCUGGCCACAUGACCUUGGAGGUGUCUACGGACAAUGCUGGUUCUUCUUCGGCUUACAAAUGGAGAUGAGCACUAAUCCCCCCCCCCCUAGUUGGACACGACUAGACUUAAUGUCAGGGGGAAACUUUUAUCUUUACCUACCAAUGAAUGGAAUCAGUUGCUUAACCUGUCAAUUACCUCCUGAAAACAUUCCCAAAGACAUUUUAGCCCAAAGUUCCCUAU
ensembl:lncRNA